rnacentral:rRNA from 1 species
GGCUAANCAUGCAAGUCGAACGCGUGUAGCAAUACACGAGUGGCGAAAGGGCGAGGAAUAGAUUCCUACGUACCCCGGAGUCAGGGAUAACCAUCGGAAACGGUGGCUAACACCUGAUGAUCUCGAAAGAGCAAAGUUUACGCUCUGGGAGCGGGGAAUCUCCUAUCAGCUAGUUGGUGAGGUAACGGCUCACCAAGGCUAAGACGGGUAGCGGGUGUGAGAGCACGGCCCGCCGCAUCGGGACUGAGACACUGCCCGGACUCCUACGGGAGGCUGCAGUAACGAAUCUUCCGCAAUGCACGAAAGUGUGACGGGGCAAUGCCGCGUGUGGGAUGAAGCCCUUCGGGGUGUAAACCACUGUCAGGGUCUAGGAACACAAUGACCAUACCCAAAGGAAGCACCGGCUAACUCUGUGCCAGCAGCCGCGGUAAUACAGAGGGUGCGAGCGUUAAUCGGAAUCACUGGGCUUAAAGGGUCCGUAGGCGGGACUGCAGGCGUCGAGUGAAAUACCACGGCUCAACCGUGGAACUGCUCGGCGAACCGCAGUUCUUGAGGCGAGUAGAGGCGAUCAGAACGAUAGGUGGAGCGGUGAAAUGCGUAGAUAUCUAUCGGAAUGCCAAAGGUGAAGACAGGUCGCUGGGCUCGUCCUGACGCUGAGGGACGAAAGCGUGGGGAGCAAACGGGAUUAGAUACCCCGGUAGUCCACGCCGUAAACAAUGCGCACUGGGUCGGGGAGGUUUGACGCCUUCCUGGCCGAAGCAAAAGUGUUAAGUGCGCCGCCUGGGGAGUACGGUCGCAAGGCUAAAACUCAAAUGAAUUGACGGAAGGGCGAAUUC